AAUAUUGCACAAUGGGGGAAACCCUGAUGCAGCGACGCCGCGUGAAGGAUGAAGUAUUUCGGUAUGUAAACUUCUAUCAGCAGGGAAGAAAGUGACGGUACCUGACUAAGAAGCCCCGGCUAACUACGUGCCAGCAGCCGCGGUAAUACGUAGGGGGCAAGCGUUAUCCGGAUUUACUGGGUGUAAAGGGAGCGUAGACGGGAUAGCAAGUCUGAAGUGAAAGCCCGGGGCUCAACCCCGGGACUGCUUUGGAAACUGUUGACCUGGAGUGCUGGAGAGGCAAGUGGAAUUCCUAGUGUAGCGGUGAAAUGCGUAGAUAUUAGGAGGAACACCAGUGGCGAAGGCGGCUUGCUGGACAGUGACUGACGUUGAGGCUCGAAAGCGUGGGGAGCAAACAG
rnacentral:rRNA from 1 species